rnacentral:rRNA from 1 species
UACGAGGGGUGCAAGCGUUAUUCGGAAUAAUUGGGCGUAAAGGGUGCGUAGGCGGUGCAUUAAGUCCAUUGUUAAAUCCCCUAGCUUAACUAGGGACUCGCAACGGAUACUGGUGCGCUAGAGGAUGGAAGAGAAAGGUGGAACUCUUGGAGUAGCGGUAAAAUGCUUAGAUCCCAAGAGGAACACCGAUGGCGAAGGCAGCCUUUUGGUCCAUUCCUGACGCUGAGGCACGAAAGCGUGGGGAGCAAACAGG